rnacentral:rRNA from 1 species
UACGUAGGGUGCAAGCGUUAAUCGGAAUUACUGGGCGUAAAGCGUGCGCAGGCGGUUUUGUAAGACAGAGGUGAAAUCCCCGGGCUCAACCUGGGAACUGCCUUUGUGACUGCAAGGCUUGAGUGCGGCAGAGGGGGAUGGAAUUCCGCGUGUAGCAGUGAAAUGCGCAGAUAUCAGGAGGAACACCGAUGGCGAAGGCAGUGUUCUGGGCCAGUACUGACGCUGAGGAGCGAAAGCGUGGGGAGCAAACAGG